CCUGGGAGGCAGCAGUGGGGAAUAUUGGACAAUGGGCGAAAGCCUGAUCCAGCCAUGCCGCGUGUGUGAAGAAGGCCUUCGGGUUGUAAAGCACUUUCAGUGGGGAAGAAAGCCUUGGGGCUAAUACCCUCGAGGAAGGACAUCACCCACAGAAGAAGCACCGGCUAACUCCGUGCCAGCAGCCGCGGUAAUACGGAGGGUGCGAGCGUUAAUCGGAAUUACUGGGCGUAAAGCGCGCGUAGGCGGUCUGAUAAGCCGGUUGUGAAAGCCCCGGGCUCAACCUGGGAACGGCAUCCGGAACUGUCAGGCUAGAGUGCAGGAGAGGAAGGUAGAAUUCCCGGUGUAGCAGUGAAAUGCGUAGAGAUCGGGAGGAAUACCAGUGGCGAAGGCGGCCUUCUGGACUGACACUGACGCUGAGGUGCGAAAGCGUGGGUAGCAAACAGGAUUAGAUACCCUUGUAGUC
rnacentral:rRNA from 1 species